rnacentral:misc_RNA from 1 species
ACUGCUGUAACUCAUCAAAGAUGCUUUGUUAUUCAAUAAAUGAUAUCCUGGACAGCAGUAACAUCAAUGCCACAAGGCUAACAAAAUCUUUCCUCUCCUCCAAAACGUACUACUGUAGAAUAAAUUUAUACAUACAUACAUGCAUUCUAUAUAUAAGUAUAGGAGCUCCAUAACCAACUAUGCAGUGUUGAUUUCAAUAAUAACAAAAAGGAUAUUGAUGAUGACAACAACUAUAACACCCUAGGCAAAUCCCACAUUGACAAAACAGGGAGAGAUGCUUGUAACAGCCCAAUCAUUCUCCAGUUAGUAUUGUCCGUUUUGGCCCAUGGGCCUCACGGAUUUGUCU